rnacentral:rRNA from 1 species
AGGCCUUUACUGACGCUAAAGCUCGAAGGUGCGGGUAUCGAACAGGAUUAGAUACCCUGGUAGUCCGCACGGUAAACGAUGGAUGCCCGCUGUUUGCGAUAUACUGUGAGCGGCCAAGAGAAAUCGUUAAGCAUCCCACCUGGGGAGUACGCCGGCAACGGUGAAACUCAAAGGAAUUGACGGGGGCCCGCACAAGCGGAGGAACAUGUGGUUUAAUUCGAUGAUACGCGAGGAACCUUACCCGGGCUUGAACUGCCAGCGAACGAUUCAGAGAUGAUGAGGUCCUUCGGGACGCUGGUGGAGGUGCUGCAUGGUUGUCGUCAGCUCGUGCCGUGAGGUGUCGGCUUAAGUGCCAUAACGAGCGCAACCCCUCUCUCCAGUUGCCAUCAGGUUAUGCUGGGCACUCUGGAGACACUGCCACCGUAAGGUGUGAGGAAGGUGGGGAUGACGUCAAAUCAGCACGGCCCUUACGUCCGGGGCUACACACGUGUUACAAUGGGUGGUACAGAGAGUUGGUCGUCUGCAAAUGCGAUCUAAUCCUUAAAGCCAUCCUCAGUUCGGAUUGGGGUCUGCAACCCGACCCCAUGAAGCUGGAUUCGCU